CUCGAUUAAGCUUAUGCUAGCAAUUAUUCAACCUAGGGUUCAUAUUUGGAAAAAUACCCAUAGGUAAAAUUUGUGUAUUUUGGUGUUUUAUGAUAGAAUAUGAGGUUUUAAAUUAUGUUAGACAAAUUGUGCUACUCGGUUUUAAGCGAAAACUAGCAAAAGGGCUUAAUCGGUAAAAAUACCUAAUAGUCAUAAGUACAUGUUAGAGUGAGAAUUUGAUGUUGCCAUAGAAGGGAAAAAUGAUCAGCAUGUCAUAAAACAUAAGAAAAUAGGCUGAAUUUUAAUUUACGAGCUUUGGG
rnacentral:lncRNA from 1 species